GAUGAACGCUGACAGAAUGCUUAACACAUGCAAGUCUUUGGCGAAGCUGUGCUUGCACCGCCUAGCCAAGGCGGACGGGUGAGUAACGCGUAAGGAACUUGCCCUGCAGUCAGGGAUAACAGACGGAAACGACUGAUAAGACCUGGUAAAGUCAGGCGGACUCAUGUCCAGCCUGAUGAAAAGAGAUGCUGCAGGAGAGCCUUGCGUCCUAUUAGCUUGUUGGUGGGGUAACGGCCCACCAAGGCGAUGAUAGGUAGCCGGCCUGAGAGGGUGGACGGCCACAAGGGGACUGGGAUACGGCCCUUACUCCUGCGGGGGGCAGCAGUGGGGAAUAGUGGACAAUGGGGGCAACCCUGAUCCAGCAAUUCUGUGUGCACGAUGAAGGUUUUCGGAGUGUAAAGUGCUUUCAGCAGGGAAGAAAAAAAUGACGGUACCUGCAGAAGAAGCGACGGCUAAAUACGUG
rnacentral:rRNA from 1 species